rnacentral:rRNA from 1 species
GAUGAACGCUGGCGGCGUGCUUAACACAUGCAAGUCGAACGAUGAAGCCCAGCUUGCUGGGUGGAUUAGUGGCGAACGGGUGAGUAACACGCGAGUAACCUGCCCUUGACUCUAGGAUAAGCCCGGGAAACUGGGUCUAAUACUGGAUAGGAACGUCUACCGCAUGGUGGGUGUUGGAAAGAAUUUCGGUCAUGGAUGGACUCGCGGCCUAUCAGCUUGUUGGUGAGGUAAUGGCUCACCAAGGCGACGACGGGUAGCCGGCCUGAGAGGGUGACCGGCCACACUGGGACUGAGACACGGCCCAGACUCCUACGGGAGGCAGCAGUGGGGAAUAUUGCACAAUGGGCGAGAGCCUGAUGCAGCGACGCCGCGUGAGGGAUGACGGCCUUCGGGUUGUAAACCUCUUUCAGUAGGGAAGAAGCGAAAGUGACGGUACCUGCAGAAGAAGCACCGGCUAACUACGUG